CCUACGGGUGGCAGCAGUGAGGAAUAUUGCUCAAUGGGCGCGAGCCUGAUCCAGCCAAGUAGCGUGAAUGAUGACUGCCCUCCGGUUUGUAAACUCUUUCUGUAAAGUAAUAAGGUGUGGCACUUGUACCUUUUUGAAUGUACUUUAUGAACAAGGAUCGGCUAACUCCGUGCCAGCAGCGGAGGUAAUACGGAGGAUACGAGCGUUACCCGGAUUUAUUGGGUUUAAGGGGAACGUAGAUGGGUUGUUAAGUCAGUUGUGAAAGUCUUCGGCUCAACCGGAAAAUUGCAAUUGAUACUGGCAGGCUUGAGUAUAGUAGAGGUAGGUGGAAUUCCUGGUGUAGCGGUGAAAUGCUUAGAGAUCACGAAGAACACCGAUGGCGAAGGCAGCUUACUAAACUACCACUGACAUUGAGGCGCGAAAGUGUGGGUAGCAAACAGGAUUAGAUACCCUUGUAGUC
rnacentral:rRNA from 1 species